rnacentral:lncRNA from 1 species
UUCUGGCCUAGGCAGUAUGGCUCUGAAGUCUCCAAUCACUACCACUGUGCUAUGCUGCCUUUCAAGAAAAAGACCCAGGAUUCACAUCAUCAGGAGAGGGGCUAUUCCCAGGCAGCCUGGCAAACUUUUGAGAAGUCAGAUGAAUGCUGGGCCCUCUUCAGAUACAAGGGAGAGCAGAUGUCUUCCUAGAGUGGUACGCAAACUAAUUGAUCUACUUCCUCAGUC